CAGCACGAGUACUUGUACUUGGUGGCGACCGGCGCACGGGUGCGUAACGCGUAUGCAACCUACCUUAUACUGAGGGAUAGCCCAGAGAAAUUUGGAUUAAUACCUCAUAGUAUCAUUUGAAGGCAUCUGAGAAUGAUUAAAGAUUUAUCGGUAAAAGAUGGGCAUGCGUCUGAUUAGCUAGUUGGCGGGGUAACGGCCCACCAAGGCGACGAUCAGUAGGGGUUCUGAGAGGAAGGUCCCCCACACUGGCACUGAGAUACGGGCCAGACUCC
rnacentral:rRNA from 1 species